CGGGGGAGGCGGGAUCCUGGGCUGUGUCCCGGCGCCCUGUGCUCCGGGGCCUGCGCUGGUGGAUUCGCGCUCCCGGCCCGCAGCCCCCU
rnacentral:pre_miRNA from 1 species